rnacentral:tRNA from 1 species
GGCUCUGGGGUGUCACACGUGAGAUUGCAAGUCUCAAGAAGCAGAGGAGACUCUGCCGGGGCUU